CCUGAUCCAGCCAUGCCGCGUGAGUGAUGAAGGCCCUAGGGUCGUAAAGCUCUUUCGCCUGUGAAGAUAAUGACGGUAGCAGGUAAAGAAACCCCGGCUAACUCCGUGCCAGCAGCCGCGGUAAUACGGAGGGGGUUAGCGUUGUUCGGAAUUACUGGGCGUAAAGCGCACGUAGGCGGAUCGGAAAGUUGGGGGUGAAAUCCCGGGGCUCAACCCCGGAACUGCCUCCAAAACUAUCGGUCUAGAGUUCGAGAGAGGUGAGUGGAAUUCCGAGUGUAGAGGUGAAAUUCGUAGAUAUUCGGAGGAACACCAGUGGCGAAGGCGGCUCACUGGCUCGAUACUGACGCUGAGGUGCGAAAGUGUGGGGAGCAAACAGGAUUAGAUACCCUGGUAGUCCACACCGUAAACGAUGAAUGCCAGUCGUCGGGUAGCAUGCUAUUCGGUGACACACCUAACGGAUUAAGCAUUCCGCCUGGGGAGUAC
rnacentral:rRNA from 1 species